CUGCCUUCAUUCAAUCAGGGGCAGAGAUGUAGGCUCGAAAAGGUAUGUUCCAUGUACACAGGAUGGGUUGCAGGUGAGAACAGUGGGAAUAGCUGAUCCAGGACCGACCAGAAGCAGACCUGAGAUGACUGGCAGAGGCCCUGGCCAUCAGAGGAAAGUCAGAGACAGAGCACGUGGCCCAAAAGAGGAAAGAGGAACAACAUGGCUUUUAGAGCAGAAGAGUAAAGUGAAUAUCAAAGGCAUCAAGGACACUCAUUCUUUCUUUCCUCUUCUCCAUUCAUAGAGGUCCGAGGAAUGAGGGGAAGGUUUAAAAUGAACCUGGGAGCAAGCAGACAUGUGUCACAGAUAUGAGAACCUCUCCGUUUGCAGUGUGAAAAACUCUGGAGGAAGGCCCGGAACUUGAGCUCUGGGAAAGAUGAUUCAGGAUUCCCCUGUCCACCGCUCAGUCACGUGGGCAGAGUGAGGAAUUCGUGUAGGUUGAAGUUUGAUGGGCACAGAAAAUGUUGACUUGCACAUGAAACUAUCAAUGAUGCUUGCUGUGUUUUCAUUUAAAUCUUAAAUUCCCUUUCAGAAAACUCUUGUUAAAGUUACUGGUGGAUAUUUCAGUACCAUUCCAGUAACACUGGGCGGGGGGGCGGGGGGGGGGAAGACAACAUUUACUUAAUUUAUGCAGCUUUUUUUCUGGUAAGAGUAUUUAAACUUGUCGACAAAGGUAUUAUGCCAGGAUUUCUUCACAGGAAUGAAAAGAAAGGAGUGAGGUGUCUUUUUAGGGCCACACCCAUGGCAUGCGGAGGUUCUCAGGCUAGGGGUCAAAUCAGAGCUGUAGCUGUCAGCCUAUGCCACAGCCACAGCAACGCCAGAUCCGAGCCAUAUCUGUGACCUAUGCCACAGCUCAUGGCAUUGCCAGAUCCUUAACUCACUGAGCGAGGACAGGGAUUGAAUUUGCACCCUCAUGGAUACCAGUCAGGUUCAUUACCACUGAGCCACAACAGAAACUCCAUGAAAAGAGUAGGAAUUAAAUAUUCAAACUAAAUCAAUUGCACACAAUUAGUCUUUGAACACCUGCCAUAUGCUAGAACUCUAUUGGGUACCCGUCAUACAACCGUACAUAAAAUGUAUCCUUACACUUUUGGCACUUGGAGUCACGGGAAAAGACAAGCUUUAUAAAAGAAAAAAACGAAAUGCUAUAUAUUGUGGCAGGUUCUCUUUAAAGUUAAGGGAAUAAGGUCGUUUAAAGGAAGAGACUCUCGAUUCUACCUGUUUGCCACACUGCUUACCAUGACUUCAAAAAAAAUUGAGUAGAAUUUCAGGAAGGAAAAUAAAUUGAGUAGCUUUGAUUGUGCUAACAUUGAGAUGCUUCUGACUUUUUACAUGAGUCUAAUGCAUAAAUUUCCCUGGACAUAAGCUAUGCAAUCUAUUUGUGGUUCCUGCGGCAUAAAGUAAACUUACAUAUUUUUUCUUUGUAACCAUAUAAAUGUUUAUCUGAUAAGUUUUCAAAUGACAUAAUGGUUUUCUAUGACUUAAAAGACAUCUCAGGAUGUAUCCUGCAACUUUACAUUUUCCUACUUGUACCCUCACCUCCAGGGAACUGAAACAGAUAGUCCAUAAAAUCUUUUAUUUUCCAUCCAAAGAACUCUCAUUGCUUAUUCAUGAUGACUUGCCCCUUGUGCAACUGAGUUGCUGGGAGCCAGAGAAGGAUGCUGUUCUACCCCAUGUUUCAGGUUGGGUUUGAACUUCAGUGCAUGCCCGCCUCUCUGUGUUUAAACAGAAUAUCUUAGUAAUUACCACCUCUUGCCAAAGCUUUUGAAUAAACGAGUGACAUGUUCUCUUGUAAUGAAGUCCCUUUGGUUGCUCUGAACAGCUCUCUCAAGCUCUCUUCUUUCUUCUGCUUUUUCCUUCAUAAACAUUUUAGAAGAAAACAUUAUGGAAACCCACCCCUCUCAUGGCAGACAGUACUCAUUAAAAACUUUAGAAAAAUAGUUGCUUCUCUCUAUAAAAUCCACAAGAUUAGUAAAGUAUUAUGAUAGCACUCUCUCUGUUAAAAAAAAAAAAGACUUAUUAGUCGAAAUAGUCCUUUAGUCUGCAGAUUAUAAGACUAUUUUAAACUAUUAUAUGCUUCAGAAUGUUAAUGGGGUUUAUAUCAUUAUUAUAUCAACCUACCCAUUAUUAUAGUAAAGUAAUAUGAAAACUAAUACAAAAUAUAAAACAAAGACCCAGGUCAGUCAAAACUACCAUGGAUUAUGAAUGGGUUGCAAAAUGCCAAGGCUGAAUGGUAUUAUUCAGGGUCUACAUACCCAACAGGAAGUAUUAUGAGCCCUUAAGACGUGACAGAGAUGGCAUUAUAUGACCAUUGAAAUGGACAUUCUCUAAUGGCACCUAGACACAUUAUCUGCAUUAAGAUAUCACACCACCACAAUGUAUUUUCUUCUACAACCAACAGUUUUCUUGUGGGUUGAACCUAAGAAUGUCUGCACAGUCACACCAAGAAAUAAAGAUAAGUAACACUAAUGAAAGAAUUGAAAAGAAAGGAAAGAUUUGCAAAAGAAGGUGAGGAAAUGAAACUUCUUAUUUAAGUAAUUUCCAAAGGUGUGCAAGAGACAAUAGGUAUCACUGCUGGUAUAAUAAGUUAUCAUACUAGAAACAUUAGGCAUAUCUCUGGUGCCAUGCCAAAUGCAGGAUAAUUUCUUUCAUCAAAGAAAGGAAGAGCCAACAUAAGUUUCAUGACUUGCUAGAAGUGUUCAGACAUUUACUAUAUUUCUAAAGAUUAAUUUUUACAAUCACUAGCUUACAGUACGAAUAAACUAGAUGUAGUGUGACUUUCAGUCUACAGCCUCAGGUGUGCAUGAAAAGUAGUAUCAUAAUUUUAUGAUGAUAAUUUAUUUUCUAGUUUGAACUACUGUUUCACUGAAUGGUAGAAAAUAAGUUUCCUGAGGUUCUACCUAAUGUUGUGUAUGCUGGUAAACGAGCUAGGUAGAAAAAAAGGGGGGCUUCUUUCUCUCUUUCUUCCUUCCUUCCUCCUCCCUCCCUCCCUCUCUUUCUCUCUCUUUCUUUCUUCGCUGAGCCUGCAGCAUGUGGAAGUUCCUGGGGGCAGGGACUGAAUCCACACCAUGGCAGCCAGCCGAGCCACAGCAGUAGCAAUGACAAGGCUAUGCCACCUGGGAACUCCCAACACAGUGUACUUUAGAUGCCAUAGCUGGGGAUGGACUUGAUGGGGGAUGGCCAUGUGUGGAGACACGAGAGAAAAUCUUCUGUUAAUGUUUUCAAAUAUUCCCCUUAUCUAUUUCUCCUUCUAUUAAGCUUGGUUCUGGGAACUGGGAAUAUAUAAUAUUAUAUACACUAAGUUAAUUUUUUCAGCAUUUUCAUCACAUAGUCACUUUUCCCUGGAGCUCAAACAUUGUAAUUCCUUCUUGAUUCAGGCUUCUCCCUUUCCAUGCACAUUCAAGAUUGUCACCCCUCCUGUAUUUAAACUAUGUUAAGAGAUAGCUGGAAAAAAGAAAUCUGAAAGAAGCAAAAGAGGUCUCAAUAUUGAGCCUCUCUUUAUUUCUUCUUUGUUCCAGUCCUGGUUUUUGCUUCCAAAGGUGAAUUGUAGCUCCUUGGUAUUCUCUUAUUCUAAUCCUCUAUGGCAUCAAACUUUUAACUGUUCCUUGUAUAUCAUCAUUUUGAGAUCCAUCCCUUUCCAGAUCCCUUCUUCAGACACAUUUCACUUGGCAAAUACUGUUAGAGGGCAGCAUGGGUACAAUGCUUGAAACAUGGUCCAACCAGCACUAAGGAGCCUGAAUGUGCAAUGGGAUUCUCUCCUCCUUUGAUUUGGAUUUUACAUUGUUAUUAAUACACCUAAAUUAACUUAUAUCAGUAAUUCCUACUCUUAAGAUUCAGUCUACUAUACCCCUAAGUUCUUUUCUAAAUGAGCUACUGUGUGGAGAGCCUAGGAUAGUGAGAGAUCAUGGGCUCUAGGGUCAGACUGGCCUGGACUCACAUCCCAGCCAUGUCACUUGCAGUCCAUUGAGUUAUCACUUAGCCUUCCCUAGAAUCUCCGAUCUAUUAAGGCAAUUCUUAUGAAACUAUGUGGCACAAGGAUGUUUUCCCCUGUUUUCUCUCUCCUGGAUUUUAUAUUGAUUCAUUUAUUCCUGUUAAAAUUACUGAAUUUCAUCUUGAGUUUCAAUUGGAUGUGCACACACUAGGAACAGUUUAGACUCUUUGUUCACUUAAGUUACUCAGAUUAAGUCAACAAUCAAUAACAAUUUUUGUACAUUCACUGUAUGCAAAGCAAUGAACCAGCUGAUAAAGGUAAUGGGAGGAGUGAAAGUUAGUGCCUGUAAAUAUUAAUAAAGCAUGGUCCCUCUCCUAAAACAGUUUAGAAGCUACCGAAGGAUAGCGCUAUGAAAAGAACACACAUGGUAUAAAGAGAACAGAGGUGUGUGCAUAGCUGUGUAGGAACACGCAGGAGGAAGUCAUUAUAUAAAUUUGAAUAGAGUGGGUAGAGUGGAGGAGGUUGUUUUCAAACUGAUCCUUUGAGUGAUGAAUAAGAAACAGGGAGAAGUUUCCAUACUGGGGGAAGCAGGAACACAGAAACAGAGGUUAAAAGAUUAAAGUCUCACCAAGGAUUGGUGAUAAAUCAGGCAUCAUUACAUCAGAGGGUGGGGUGGAGCAUCAUCUUUAAGGUGACUGACCAGGACUUGAUUAGCCUUGGUCACAUUUCAAGAGAUGAACUAAGGCUGUUUGUCUCUGGGAGUAGAGAGUGAUUUUCAAAUGACACUUAAAACGAACUUUUGGUUUCU
rnacentral:lncRNA from 1 species